CGCCCAGCAAGGGAAGCAGCACAGCAGCAGGAUGAGGAUCCCCUGCUGCAGGAUGGUGCCCACCUGCUUCAGGUUCUUGCCACCAUAUGUCUGAGUCAGGAGAGAGGACCAAGUGGCCAACGCCAGGCUGGCUGGGUACAACUGGCUCUCGGGCAGAUUGCGCAUCCCUUUGCUACCCAGGCACAAGAAAGGGGGAGUUGCUACUAACCUGGGACAUCAGCGUGUCGCAUGCUGAGGCUAAACCAGAACCGAUGGAGAUGCCCGUCACGUUGAUAACCUG